AGAGUUUGAUCCUGGCUCAGAACGAACGCUGGCGGCAGGCUUAACACAUGCAAGUCGAGCGCCCCGCAAGGGGAGCGGCAGACGGGUGAGUAACGCGUGGGAAUCUACCUUUUGCUACGGAAUAACUCAGGGAAACUUGUGCUAAUACCGUAUGUGUCCUUCGGGAGAAAGAUUUAUCGGCAAGAGAUGAGCCCGCGUUGGAUUAGCUAGUUGGUGGGGUAAAGGCCUACCAAGGCGACGAUCCAUAGCUGGUCUGAGAGGAUGAUCAGCCACACUGGGACUGAGACACGGCCCAGACUCCUACGGGAGGCAGCAGUGGGGAAUAUUGGACAAUGGGCGCAAGCCUGAUCCAGCCAUGCCGCGUGAGUGAUGACGGUCUUAGGAUUGUAAGCUCUUUCACCGGUGAAGAUAAUGACGGUACCGGAGAAGAAGCCCCGGCUAACUUCGUGCCAGCAGCCGCGGUAAUAC
rnacentral:rRNA from 1 species